rnacentral:rRNA from 1 species
UCCAACGUUAAUCGGGGCAGGGUGAGUCGACCCCUAAGGCGAGGCCGAAAGGCGUAGUCGAUGGGAAACAGGUUAAUAUUCCUGUACUUGGUGUUACUGCGAAGGGGGGACGGAGAAGGCUAUGUUGGCCGGGCGACGGUUGUCCCGGUUUAAGCGUGUAGGCUGGUUUUCCAGGCAAAUCCGGAAAACUAAGGCUGAGGCGUGAUGACGAGGCACUACGGUGCUGAAGCAACAAAUGCCCUGCUUCCAGGAAAAGCCUCUAAGCAUCAGGUAACAUCAAAUCGUACCCCAAACCGACACAGGUGGUCAGGUAGAGAAUACCAAGGCGCUUGAGAGAACUCGGGUGAAGGAACUAGGCAAAAUGGUGCCGUAACUUCGGGAGAAGGCACGCUGAUAUGUAGGUGAAGUCCCUCGCGGAUGGAGCUGAAAUCAGUCGAAGAUACCAGCUGGCUGCAACUGUUUAUUAAAAACACAGCACUGUGCAAACACGAAAGUGGACGUAUACGGUGUGACGCCUGCCCGGUGCCGGAAGGUUAAUUGAUGGGGUCAGCGCAAGCGAAGCUCUUGAUCGAAGCCCCGGUAAACGGCGGCCGUAACUAUAACGGUCCUAAGGUAGCGAAAUUCCUUGUCGGGUAAGUUCCGACCUGCACGAAUGGCGUAAUGAUGGCCAGGCUGUCUCCACCCGAGACUCAGUGAAAUUGAACUCGCUGUGAAGAUGCAGUGUACCCGCGGCAAGACGGAAAGACCCCGUGAACCUUUACUAUAGCUUGACACUGAACAUUGAGCCUUGAUGUGUAGGAUAGGUGGGAGGCUUUGAAGUGUGGACGCCAGUCUGCAUGGAGCCGACCUUGAAAUACCACCCUUUAAUGUUUGAUGUUCUAACGUUGACCCGUAAUCCGGGUUGCGGACAGUGUCUGGUGGGUAGUUUGACUGGGGCGGUCUCCUCCUAAAGAGUAACGGAGGAGCACGAAGGUUGGCUAAUCCUGGUCGGACAUCAGGAGGUUAGUGCAAUGGCAUAAGCCAGCUUGACUGCGAGCGUGACGGCGCGAGCAGGUGCGAAAGCAGGUCAUAGUGAUCCGGUGGUUCUGAAUGGAAGGGCCAUCGCUCAACGGAUAAAAGGUACUCCGGGGAUAACAGGCUGAUACCGCCCAAGAGUUCAUAUCGACGGCGGUGUUUGGCACCUCGAUGUCGGCUCAUCACAUCCUGGGGCUGAAGUAGGUCCCAAGGGUAUGGCUGUUCGCCAUUUAAAGUGGUACGCGAGCUGGGUUUAGAACGUCGUGAGACAGUUCGGUCCCUAUCUGCCGUGGGCGCUGGAGAACUGAGGGGGGCUGCUCCUAGUACGAGAGGACCGGAGUGGACGCAUCACUGGUGUUCGGGUUGUCAUGCCAAUGGCACUGCCCGGUAGCUAAAUGCGGAAGAGAUAAGUGCUGAAAGCAUCUAAGCACGAAACUUGCCCCGAGAUGAGUUCUCCCUGACUCCUUGAGAGUCCUGAAGGAACGUUGAAG